rnacentral:lncRNA from 1 species
CAUCGGCGGGUGCCACCAAAGGAAGAGUAAAGAAGGGAUCCCGGGCGGGCAUAGAAUAUGCAGAAUCCCGUAUUGUGACGAAAACCUCUGUAACAACGGCUGGUGUGAAGAGACUAUGGUAGGCUACAACUGUACCUGCUCAAGUGGGUUUCAAGGGAGACACUGCGAUGAAAUGAUCAUACAGUCAACGACGGAAGCGACGACCAA